AACGGCGUAGCCGAUGCACAGACGGUAGAGAUUCCGUCACCACCAAAAGAGUUAAGCACAGGGACACAUUUGAAGUCUCAGAGCCGGGUGUUGGUUCCGGUAGAGAUCGAGGGAAGUUAGUACCGAAGUCUGGGAUGGAAGAUGGCGAGAAAAGCUGUGUGUAUUUCUGAGGUGCCCGUACCGCAAACCGACACAGGUAGGUAGGAAGAAGAUUCUAAGGCCAACGGGAGAAGGGUUGUUAAGGAACUCGGCAAAUUGACCCCGUAACUUCGGGAGAAGGGGUGCUCCAGAGAUGGAGCCGCAGAGAAUCGGCCCAAGCAACUGUUUACCAAAAACACAGGUUUGUGCUAAAUCGAAAGAUGACGUAUACGAGCUGACGCCUGCCCGGUGCUGGAAGGUUAAGAGGAGAUGUGCAAGCAUUGAAUCGAAGCCCCAGUGAACGGCGGCCGUAACUAUAACGGUCCUAAGGUAGCGAAAUUCCUUGUCAGGUAAGUUCUGACCCGCAUGAAAGGCGUAAUGAUUUGGGCACUGUCUCAACAGCCCGCCCGGCGAAAUUGUAGUACCGGUGAAGAUGCCGGUUACCCGCGACAAGACGGAAAGACCCCAUGGAGCUUUACUGUAGCCUAAUAUUGGGUUUCGAUGUUGCAUGCACAGGAUAGAUGGGACACUGGGAAGCAGGUGCUUUGGCGCUUGUGGAGUGGCCGUUGGGAUACCAUCCUUGCGAUAUUGGAAUUCUAACCUGCGCCUUUGAAUCAAGGCGGGGGACAUUGUUAGGUGGGCAGUUUGACUGGGGCGGUCGCCUCCUAAAGAGUAACGGAGGCGUUCAAAGGUUCGCUCAGCUUGAACGGAAAUCAAGCAAAAGAGUGCAAACGCAGAAGCGAGCCUAACUGCGAGACUGACGGGUCGAGCAGUAACGAAAGUUGGAGUUAGUGAUCCGGUGGUAUGUGAGUGGAAAUGCCAUCGCUCAACGGAUAAAAGUUACCCUGGGGAUAACAGGCUGAUCUCCCCCAAGAGUCCACAUCGACGGGGAGGUU
rnacentral:rRNA from 1 species